rnacentral:rRNA from 1 species
AGAGUUUGAUCCUGGCUCAGGAUGAACGCUAGCGGCAGGCUUAACACAUGCAAGUUGAGGGGUAACAUAAGGAAGCUUGCUUUCUUGAUGACGACCAGCGAACGGGUGCGUAACACGUAUGGAACCUACCUUAUACAGGGGCAUAGCCCAGAGAAAUCUGGAUUAAUUCCCCAUAACAUCUGAGAGUGGCAUCACUUUCAGAUUAAAGCUUCGGCGGUAUAAGAUGGCCAUGCGGCCCAUUAGUUAGUUGGUGAGGUAAUGGCUCACCAAGACUAUGAUGGGUAGGGGUUCUGAGAGGAUUAUCCCCCACACUGGUACUGAGACACGGACCAGACUCCUACGGGAGGCAGCAGUGAGGAAUAUUGGGCAAUGGACGAAAGUCUGACGCAGCCAUGCCGCGUGCAGGAUGACAGCCCUAUGGGUCGUAAACUGCUUUUAUAUGGGAAGAAACCCCUUCACGUGUGAAGGGCUGACGGUACCAUAUGAAUAAGCACCGGCUAACUCCGUGCCAGCAGCCGCGGUAAUACGGAGGGUGCAAGCGUUGUCCGGAUUUAUUGGGUUUAAAGGGUACGUAGGCGGCCAAUUAAGUCAGUGGUGAAAGCCAGCAGCUCAACUGUUGAACUGCCAUUGAUACUGAUUGGCUCGAGUUCUGUUAAGGUAGGCGGAAUUGAUGGUGUAGCGGUGAAAUGCAUAGAUACCAUCAGGAACACCGAUUGCGAAGGCAGCUUACUAGGCAGAAACUGACGCUAAUGUACGAAAGCGUGGGGAUCGAACAGGAUUAGAUACCCUGGUAGUCCACGCCGUAAACGAUGCUCACUCGCUGUUGGCGAUACACAGUCAGCGGCCAAGCGAAAGCGUUAAGUGAGCCACCUGGGGAGUACGCUCGCAAGAGUGAAACUCAAAGGAAUUGACG